rnacentral:lncRNA from 1 species
GAUCCAUAUUAUAUAUAGUGUGUAUUAGUAGUUCAUUCCUUUUUAUGGCUGAGUAAUAUUCUAUUGUGUGUAUAUCUCACAUCUUGUUUACCCAUUCAUUAGUUGAUAAACGUUUGAGUUGUUUUCACCUUUUGGCUAUUACAAAUAGUACUGUUAUAAACAUCCAGGUAAUAUAGGUAUUUACUUGAGUAUGAAAGUAUUACUCUUUACAUUGUGAAAAUAGUAGACAAAACAAAUCCAAUAUGGGUUGAAAAAAUCUACAAAACUAGAAAAAUACAGGGACAUGUGAUCAUAGUAUUAGCAAGUCACAAAUUCAGAAGACAAAAAGGAAAAAAAGUUAUAACUCUGAAUACCAUAUAAGUAAAAAACUUAGGAUAUGGAAAAAUACACAAAGUUCUCUUAGAAAGCAUUAAGAAAACAAACUUCAUAGAAAAUGCACAACUGAACAGUCAAUUUACACGAUAAUCAGAGAAAUAAACAAGGUACCAUUUAUUUGUCCAAACUGGGUAAAUAAUAACACUGAUAAUAUUCAAUGCUAGCAAGAAUGUGGAGAAAAAGAUUCUCUAAUAUACUAAUGAAAUAAAAGUAAAUCAAUAUAAUCUUUCCGGACAGCUUAAGAGCAUCUGACAAAGUUUAAAAUCUUAUGGCCCAUCAAAUCAAUUUCUAAAGACAUAUAGGAACUAUACUUUUAAAAUGUGUAAACAAUGCAAUAAUGACGACUACGAAGUAAUAAUCAUGAUUAUAGCAGCAGACAAUUAGCUAAUGUUGAAAAUGAGCCAGGCACUGGUCAAAGCUUAUACAUAUAUUAACUCAUUAAGGAUCACUAUAACCUUAUGAGGUAGGGACUGUUAACUUCAUUUUAAGAAGAGACUGAGGCAGAGAGUUUAAAUAAUCUGCUCAAGGUCACAUAGUAAGUCAGCCAUCAGGCAAAGAUAUGAACUCAGUCUGGCUCUAGAAUCUGUAUUUUUAACUACAAUAAUGGCACAAUUGGAUAAAGAAGAUAUAUAUCAGACAAAUAUUCACUGCAGCCUUGUUUUUAAAGUAAAAAUUUCUGUUUGACGCAAGAUAAUGGAUUGUCAAAAAGGAGGCAAUAUGGCAAACGGAAGUUGUUUGGACCUGAAGUCAGAAGAAUCAAGUUCAGCUCACUUUGAUUCUGAUGGGAUCUACCAAAGCAUGUUUGUUGAUAUGAUCAAUCCAAAAGAGAAGGUGAGACUGAUGAACAGGAGGACUGGAGUCUUGUAGUAGGAGGAGUAAAUGGGAUUCAUAUCUCACAUCAGCACCUUAUUUAUUUGUAAGUAAACACACUCAUAUAUGAUAGACAAAAGACCCAUAGCUCCAGGUUUCCUAGAUGUUAUUAUUUAUUUAUUUUUAAAGUUAGA